ensembl:misc_RNA Metazoa_SRP Metazoan signal recognition particle RNA
GGCAGUUGUGGUGGUGCACAGCUGUAGUCCCAGCUACCUGGGAGGCUGAGGUGGGAGGAUCGCUUGAGCCCAGGAGGUUGAGGCUGCAGUGAGCCAUGACUGCUCCACUGCACUCCAGCCUGGGCAACAGAGUGAGAUCCUGUCUCAC